AUGGAGAGCCACCGCACGGAAACUGAAAUAAAGCUGGCAUCUGGAAAAUCCUCAGAGAAUCCCUAUGCAAUGGACCCUUUUCUGUUCCUGAUGCGACCUUUCUGCCUCAAGAUGAGUCUUUUUCCCUGGCAUCCAACCCAUGUUAUAAUGGAGACCAGCGUCCCAGCAUCUUGCCUUAUGCACAGACAACGACCAGCAAAUCUUACCCAAUGGAGACACAACACUGCUAUUCACACCGAGUAUCCUCCCUUUCAUUCCUUAGACAGUCUACACCUGCACAUGGUAAGCAAUAAAACAGUGUGGACCUUCUAAUCACUUCUCUAGUACUGAUGAUCAUUUGUAAUGACAUUGAACAAAACUUUGCCCAGCAAUUUGCAUUGAUUCUUAGGAGAGGGUCACUUCUCACUCCCUGAUCUAAGUGUAAGUCACUCCUUACACAUUGAUCCAUGGAAUUCAUAAGAUUUGUCAGAAUUCAGCAAAAGAAACCAAAAUUUACGUUCAAUUACAAGUUAUCUUUCAACCCCUACUCUGAAGACUAGGGAAUGGGUUUGCUUAUUUUGUUUUGUGGUUAUUGCCAAUUUUGUUGGGUAUUUUGUGGAAGGAAGAGAAG
rnacentral:lncRNA from 1 species